CAGUGUAUUUGAAGCCAUGAUCUGGAGUCAGUGUGUUAGUGACCACU
rfam:Microcebus murinus cont1.46489, whole genome shotgun sequence.